rnacentral:rRNA from 1 species
AGAGUUUGAUCCUGGCUCAGGACGAACGCUGGCGGCACGCUUAACACAUGCAAGUCGAACGAGAGAAGAGGAGCUUGCUUUUCUGAUCUAGUGGCGGACGGGUGAGUAACACGUGAGCAAUCUGCCUUUCAGAGGGGGAUACCGAUUGGAAACGAUCGUUAAUACCGCAUAACAUAAUUGAACCGCAUGAUUUGAUUAUCAAAGAUUUAUCGCUGAAAGAUGAGCUCGCGUCUGAUUAGCUAGUUGGUAAGGUAGCGGCUUACCAAGGCGGCGAUCAGUAGCCGGACUGAGAGGUUGAUCGGCCACAUUGGGACUGAGACACGGCCCAGACUCCUACGGGAGGCAGCAGUGGGGAAUAUUGCACAAUGGAGGAAACUCUGAUGCAGCGAUGCCGCGUGAGGGAAGAAGGUUUUAGGAUUGUAAACCUCUGUCUUCAGGGACGAAAAAAGACGGUACCUGAGGAGGAAGCUCCGGCUAACUACGUGCCAGCAGCCGCGGUAAUACGUAGGGAGCGAGCGUUGUCCGGAAUUACUGGGUGUAAAGGGAGCGUAGGCGGGACCGCAAGUCAGAUGUGAAAACUAUGGGCUUAACCCAUAAACUGCAUUUGAAACUGUGGUUCUUGAGUGAAGUAGAGGUAAGCGGAAUUCCUAGUGUAGCGGUGAAAUGCGUAGAUACUAGGAGGAACAUCAGUGGCGAAGGCGGCUUACUGGGCUUUAACUGACGCUGAGGCUCGAAAGCGUGGGGAGCAAACAGGAUUAGAUACCCUGGUAGUCCACGCCGUAAACGAUGAUUACUAGGUGUGGGGGGACUGACCCCUUCCGUGCCGCAGCAAACGCAAUAAGUAAUCCACCUGGGGAGUACGACCGCAAGGUUGAAACUCAAAGGAAUUGACGGGGGCCCGCACAAGCAGUGGAGUAUGUGGAUUAAUUCGAAGCAACGCGAAGAACCUUACCAGGUCUUGACAUCGUAUGCAUAGCUCAGAGAUGAGUGAAAUCUCUUCGGAGACAUAUAGACAGGUGGUGCAUGGUUGUCGUCAGCUCGUGUCGUGAGAUGUUGGGUUAAGUCCCGCGACGAGCGCAACCCUUACUGUUAGUUGCUACGCAAGAGCACUCUAGCAGGACUGCCGUUGACAAAACGGAGGAAGGUGGGGAUGACGUCAAAUCAUCAUGCCCCUUAUGACCUGGGCCUCACACGUACUACAAUGGCUGUCAACAGAGGGAAGCAAAGCCGCGAGGUGGAGCGAACCCCUAAAAGCAGUCUUAGUUCGGAUUGUAGGCUGCAACCCGCCUACAUGAAGUCGGAAUUGCUAGUAAUCGCAGAUCAGCAUGCUGCGGUGAAUACGUUCCCGGGCCUUGUACACACCGCCCGUCACGCCAUGGGAGUCGGUAACACCCGAAGCCUGUAGUCUAACCGCAAGGAGGACGCAGUCGAAGGUGGGAUUGAUGACUGGGGUGAAGUCGUAACAAGGUA